rnacentral:rRNA from 1 species
GGGCCCGCACAAGCGGUGGAGCAUGUGGUUUAAUUCGAUGCAACGCGAAGAACCUUACCAGGGCUUGACAUACUACAGAUCUUUUUGAGAAAGAAGAGUGCCUUCGGGAAUGUAGAUACAGGUGGUGCAUGGCUGUCGUCAGCUCGUGUCGUGAGAUGUUGGGUUAAGUCCCGCAACGAGCGCAACCCUUAUUUUUAGUUACCAACUUGUUGGGUUCUCUAGAAAGACUGCCGGUGACAAACCGGAGGAAGGUGAGGAUGACGUCAAGUCAGCAUGCCCCUUAUGUCCUGGGCUACACACGUGCUACAAUGGCUAAGACAAAGAGUCGCGAGUUCGUGAGAACCAGCUAAUCUCGUAAACUUAGCCCAAGUUCAGAUUGUAGGCUGCAACUCGCCUACAUGAAGUUGGAAUCGCUAGUAAUCG